UUAAGUUCUUUUCUAUAUCUUUUCAUUCCUAUAUAAUGUGCAUUACCAUUGGUGAAUAAGGUGCUGCAUCUGAUUUGAUUUUCCAUUUCUCUUUAUAGGCAAGCACGUUCAUGGCUUAGCUCAUGCUGCCUCUGGAUAUCAUAGAGUAUUUGAAGAAAAUCGCAAACUAUACAAUCAAGUCUAGGAUCUUAAAGGAAGUAUUAGAGUGUA